GAAAGGCAGGAGAGAAUUCUUUCCCCCCCUCAGUGCUAUUUGGCUACUAAUACAGGAAGAUGGCGCUUUUGAGAGCAUGUGUGAAUUGCAAUUUGAGCUCUCUUGCACGCAUGCACAAACACACAGGUUAGCAAUGCCCUUUUGCUUCUGCAGAAUGGCUUUCUCUCCUCUGCCCACAUGCCCUGAUUUGGGAAGCUCAGACUUUCCCCAUGUAAUAGCCAUCCAGAUGUUGAAAGAUCAAAGGAGAGUUUGCUUGACCCAUAUAACAGCAUUCCUCUUUUGUGUCUGCAUGCAGAGUUCAAUUUGCUUAAAGCUUCUUUUGACUUCAUGGAGCCCUGCAAAAAGUGCUAUAAACCUUUAACACCUUGGGGGGAUGGGGGGGGGGAGGAGAGGAAACUGCUAAAUGGAUUCCCCGCCCCCACCUGCACACCCUUUUCAAAAAUAGCCCCACUGUAAACAACUGUUUCCUUUUUUGUUCUUUUUAAAAUUACAUUGGAGGUGUCAAUCCUUACAAAGUGAUGGAAAUUCCUGCGUUUUGGAAUAACAAAACAAGGAAGUUCUUAUGGAAGACGUGGGCCCUCCCUGUAUAAUUUUAGCAUAAAUUGGCAGACAAGGAAGUGUUGUCUUUUCCAGCUCUUUUUUUUUUUGUUCGGGGGAGGGGGGGAAUUAGUGGCAUCUCUCUAAAAACAAAUUCAUUUAGUUAAUUCCCCUAACAGCUAGUUUCUGGGGGUUUUUCCCUGGUAGUUUGUUCCUCUAGAUAAUUCAUUGGCAUAUGGAUGGUCCAGCAGAGUGACCUAAUAUGUGAAAUUUCAACUAACAAUUAUACAAAAAAUGUUUUCAGAAUCUGAUAAUAUGUCAUGCGUGACUCCUAAGUGUUAGCUUACAAAAUGUAUAGAUUGUAGGAGACUAAAGAUCCCUUGCCAGUGCUGGAAUAAUGGAUUCGAGGAUGUUUUAAAUGUACUUAUGAUAUGGUUUUGAAGGCUAAGCAAUUCUGAACCCUGGUUUAUGGAGCAAGUGGAAAGAGUGGUUGGGUUAACCAACUAAUAUAUGGAACCAGAGUUGCAAAGGGAUAGUUUGGCCUGCUUAUUUCAGAGCCCUUCCUGUGCUUGGUGCUAUUUAGACCUAUGACUAAAGCAUGGGCCCUGGGAAGCAGAGGUGGCACCCCUUCCUUCUCACCAAACCAGAUUUUUUAAUGAAUUUUUGGCUGUGCAAAUGCAGCUCCUACAGGUAAGUUUCUCUUCCCGCCCCUUCAAAUAAAGUCAUCUCUCCCAUUGUUUGCGAUGUAUUGGACAAUGACAAUAAAGAUUAUCGUAUCGUAUCGUGUCGUAAACGAUUUACAUUUAUGCAGUUGUCCUUGAAUUGCCAGAACCAGAAUGUGGAUUACUUUAGUGCUAAAUUUAGUGGAAUCUGCCUUCCCCCACCCUCCCCGGAAUACAAGUACAGAACACUUAAAUGCUGCCCAUAAUUGCUGCCUAUAAUCUAUAGUCUAAAUUAUGCCGGAAGUGUAACCAUGUCCAUUUUAAGACUGCGCUCUAGCUGGAGCUGCUGGGUGCCUGGUAUAAUUAGCCGGGCCGUUUUCCUCCCCUCCGUACUUUGGCUUGCCAGGGGUCUGAUGUAACUAAGGUUGGCACGCUAUCCUAUUACUUGAGUGCCGAUAGAGGCCAAAGGCUGAUUCAUAGGCUGUCCCCUAGUGCCAGAGCAGCGGCUGCAGUUCUCCAGCUGGUUAUUGGCCAAGCAGCUGACUGUUUCUUCUAGGUUAGGAGAAAAUAAGAAUAAUCGCAGCAGCAGCAGCAGCAGCAGCAGCAGCAGCAAGACUUAACCAAGCAAACAGCAACAACGAAAAGUCCACAUCCCGUGAACACCUGGGGCUGCGCCUCUGGUCCACCCUCAUUUUUGCAGCGAUGCUGGUGAGGAGGCAGGCUUUGAGUCAGAAUCGCCGGGACGCAGCAUGUAAAGAAUAUAUAGCAGAAAAUAGCAGGUCAGCCGUGUGGAGAAAUAAGAGCAGAAAAGAGAGUAUAUUUUCAGUAGCAAUUUAGUGCAUGAUUGAUCUCCUUGAUGCUGUUAGCGGUGUGUUCAUAGCUGAGUGAGCCCACCAGCAGCGGCUUGUCUGUACUGUGUGUUUGCGGAAAGACCCGCAAGGAUGGAAAGUGAACUCAUGAGGGCGUUGGCUCCUGUAAGUAGAAUUUCGCUCGCGCCUUAAGGAAGGCAACCCAUUGGACCCUAUGUGAACACACUUCUGGGCUUUUACUGGACCCCUUUCCAAUGAAACAAUUGGUGUGCAAAUGACAGGUAAAGCUGAUAAAGUAGGUUCAUGGACCAUGAUGUUGGCCCAAACCUUCACUUUAUAGUCUUCUCUACAUCCCCUUCUUUAUACGGCAGGAUGAGUCAUGGGGAGAAGAAGCUGCGGAAGAUGGAUGUUGAGAUUUGAACUCGCAGCCUUCUGUCUCAGAGCUUGCAAACAGUGCUUGUGGGAUGAAUUUUCUUUCUGGUUCCAACCAUUGCAAACACCUUCGUUCCUGAAGAAGACAGCUUGUUACGGGGUGCUAAAACUCGAAGGCUAACGUUGACAUAGCUAACAUUGACAUAGAAGGCUAACAUUGAUUCCUUCCGACUCUACAGUUCUGUGAUUCUACGGCUGCUAGCUUCCCUUUGUUUUUGCAGCAGAUCUGCUUUCUGUCCCAUUCCAGACAGAAGUACCCCCCCCUAGAGUUUCACAGCCCUCGGUUUUUCCACCCACUACCGUUCUAGAUCCGUUAAUUGAAUAUUUUGGUGGUGCCCGGUCUCUCCUCUGCAGCUUCUUAAUAUUCCCAUCCUUUAUUGCUGGCACCCGCUGCUGGAGGAGGCUGGGCUUUGUUGCCCAAGACGGUUGCCAGUUGUGCUAAAUCACUAGUCAGAUGCUGGGUUGCCAUUUGAGUCUUGGCGCGGCUGGGGCUUUUAUGGUCUCUAGGUGCCUGCUAGGCAUAACAUUCCUCUUUUAAAAAAUAAAAUAAAAAGUGAGCUAUUCAGGUUUUAUUUCCAUUUCAGCAGUCCAGGUCUUUGAAAGCAGCUUUGCCAAUGAAGCAGGAUUGGGCAGGUGGUCUCUUAAACCAAACUUACACCCUUAGUUUUGCUAGGUAGCCACCUCCUCCUAGCCGUUAAUUGAAUAUUAAUCUGAUAAUCUGCUGGAUCCUCUGAACGAGUGCCCACUCAACACCAAAAGUUAGCACUGAGGAUAUUUUGUAGGGUGGUCUUCUUGCCUUUUCUGGGUCAGACAAAAAACUCGCAUGCCACUUAGUUUCCCGCCUCUCUCGCAUUAGCCACCAACUUUAUUGUGGCAGGUGCCGUAUAGCCAUAUUAAGACUCUAUAAAAACCAUAAAGCACAACACACAUGUCUGUCCCUGAAUCUAAUUAUAGACAAGUCCCCGUGACAAAGUUUUUAUUUAGAAACAAUCUGGAAUUUAACAUGCAGACUUUGCAUAAUGUUCUGCAUUUCAAAUAAUAGCAGGGCAGGGAUGUUGUCCAAACUUUAAUUGUCUAAUGCUGAAGUUUUAAUUAAUAAGGGAUAGUGUAUUUUAAUCAGUAAAGGUUUUUUUUUUUUUAAAAAAAUAAAUAUCUAUUUUUGUAAAGGCUGCUAUGAUUCUGGUAUGUUAUUGUAUAAGAAAUUAUAAUCCUAGGCAGCUUUCCCCCUACUUCCUUGUCUAUCUUAAAAGAGACAUGUUUAUUGAAAAUUGGGAAAUAAGCAAAUACAUUUAAAUUUAACUGAUUCCCCUCACUCCCCAGUUAAUUACUUGCAAAGUAAAGGUACCCAUGACCAUUAGGUCGAGUUGCGGACGACUGUGGGGUUGUUCUCUCAUCUCGCUCUAUAGGCCAAGGGAGCCGCCGUUUGUCCGCAAACAGCUUCCAGGUCAUGUGGCCAGCAUGACUAAGCUGCUUCCGGCGAACCAGAGCAGCGUACGGAAAUGCCAGAGCAGUACCUAUUUAUCUACUUGCACUUUGUUCUUUCGAACUGCUAGGUUGGCAGGAGCUGGGUCCGAGCAAUGGGAGCUCACCCCAUCGCGGGGAUUCGAACCACCGACCUUCUGAUCGGCAAGCCCAGGAGGCUCUUUGGUUUCGACCACUGCACCACCCGAGUCCCUUGAUAACUUGUAAUUAAAUACAAAUAUAUUUUAGUGGACUGACAGUCCUAAACAGCUAGGCUUAUAUCAUAUUGGACUGAAUGGAUGUGGGGAGGUUAUUGGGGUAGUAUCAAUUUCAAUACAUUUGAGGGCCAGUUCUGUAUGAAAUAUUCUUGGUUAAAGCAAUCUCUCUUUUAGAACUUUUGUUUCUUUUGUAAAUUAAAAGAAAUGGUCCCAUGCUGAAAACAUCAAAUUUCUUUGUAACAAAUAGUAUGCAUUUAAUAUUUAUAUAUUUACAGACAGAUGAAAUUAAUCUGUCGGUUUCUUUAAAAGAUAUUUAGCAAGUUUGAUAAUAAAAGUUUAGCAAAAGUUUUGUAAUUGGGCACUAUAAAAGGCUCUGGUGCUUUCCAGUUCCUUUUACUUUUAACCCUUUAUUUAUAGGGACUCUCCCCACCCUAGUGGUCUCUUCCCCCACCCCCUUCAGCAAUUUAGCGUAAUCCAGCAUUCUUUAGAGCUCAGCAAGAAUUCCCCAGCCGGCAAGCAAAUUGCUGUCAGAAGCUCAUUGCUUUUAAGUAGACCAAAAGGGAAAUGUGGAAAGCAAAUCAUUCAGCAAAUGUAGCACAAAACUCUUUCCAUGGAAGUUAUUAGUUCUUGGAAACUUUCUGUAAUUAUGACAUAUUCUGGUUUCUUAAAUCAUUUGGGCCUCCUAAAAGCGGGCUGGGGGUGAGUGGGAAAAUCUUGGCGUAGCUUUUAUUUUCCGUGAAUAAGAAAGCUGUUGUAUAUUCAUGAUUUGGGCAGGGAGUUUCCCAGCCCUCCCUCUUUCUUCUUCAAAGAGUUGAAUUUUGCAAUAUCCCAGUUAAGCCCUAGUUUUAAGAAAUGGCAUAUAUCCCGAUACAGUGGUACCUUGGUUCUCAAACUUAAUCCGUUCCGGAAGUCCGUUCCAAAACCAAAGCGUUCCAAAACCAAGGCGCACUUUCCCAUAGAAAGUCAUGCAAAAUGGAUUAGUCCAGACUUUUAAAACGUUCCAGACUUUUAAAAAUAGCCCCUAAAACAGCAAUUUUAACAUGAAUUUUACUAUCUAACGAGACCAUUCUUCCAUAAAAUGAAAACAAUAAACAAUGUACUGCAGUCACACAUCAAUCAGUCAGUCAAUCAAUCAGUAGCUGAACUGGGUUCCACACAGUCACAAAAGCAAAACAAAAAGCCACAGAAACAAAAAUGCAAAAUAAAUAGCAAAAACAGACAGACCUCAGCAUAACACUCAAAAUGGAAGUGUGGCACGCAAAUCGGAGCACAUUCGGUUUCCAAAAAAAGUUUGCAAACUGGAACACUUACUUCCGGGUUUGCAGUGUUUGGGUUCCAAGUUGUUUGAGUACC